CCUACGGGAGGCAGCAGUAGGGAAUCUUUCACAAUGGGCGAAAGCCUGAUGGAGCAACGCCGCGUGCAGGAUGAAGGCCUUCGGGUUGUAAACUGCUUUUAUCAGCGAGGAAUAUGAUGGUAACUUAUGAAUAAGGCUCGGCUAACUACGUGCCAGCAGCCGCGGUCAUACGUAGGAGCCGAGCAUUAUCCGGAGUGACUGGGUGUAAAGAGUUGCGUAGGUGGGAUAUGAAGUAGCUAGUGGAAUCCGGUGGCUCAACCAUUCAGACUAUUAGCUAAACUGUUAAGCUCGAGACCGUGAGGGGCAUCUGGAAUUUCUGGUGUAGGGGUGAAAUCCGUAGAUAUUAGGAGGAACACCGAUAGCGAAGGCAGGAUGCUGGGACGGAUCUGACGCUGAGGCACGAAAGCGUAGGGAGCAAACAGGAUUAGAUACCCGAGUAGUC
rnacentral:rRNA from 1 species